rnacentral:lncRNA from 1 species
CAGGUUACAGAUGAGUAGCUGAUUCUGGAGCCUAGGUUCUUGCUUCCUGGUCUGGCGAUGAGUCCUCCAUAGUCUGGUGAGUGUAGUGGCCAACUCUAAAGCCCAGGCUGUUGCUUCCCGGUCUGGCAAUGAAUCCUCAGUAGUCUGUUGA